rnacentral:rRNA from 1 species
UGAGGAAUAUUGGUCAAUGGGCGCAAGCCUGAACCAGCCAUCCCGCGUGCAGGAAGACGGCCCUAUGGGUUGUAAACUGCUUUUCCAGGGGGAGAAACUUGCGCACGUGUUGCGCAAUUGACGGUACCCUGGGAAUAAGCAUCGGCUAACUCCGUGCCAGCAGCCGCGGUGAUACGGAGGAUGCGAGCGUUAUCCGGAUUCAUUGGGUUUAAAGGGUGCGUAGGCGGACUAUUAAGUCAGUGGUGAAAUCCUGCAGCUUAACUGCAGAACUGCCGUUGAUACUGAUAGCCUUGAGUUUGGUUAAGGUAGGCGGAAUGUGUAAUGUAGCGGUGAAAUGCUUAGAUAUUACGCAGAACACCAAUUGCGUAGGCAGCUUACUGAGCCGACACUGACGCUGAGGCACGAAAGCGUGGGGAUCGAGCAG